GCCUGGGUGGCGGAACUGGUAGACGCAAGGGACUUAAAAUCCCUUAUCCGUAAGGGUGUGAGAGUUCGAGCCUCUCCCCAGGCA
rnacentral:tRNA from 1 species